rnacentral:rRNA from 1 species
GACGAACGCUGGCGGCGUGCUUAACACAUGCAAGUCGAACGAAGAGCGAUGGACGCUUGCUUCUAUCACUCUUAGUGGCGAACGGGUGAGUAACGCGUAAUCAACCUGCCCUUCAGAGGGGGACAACAGUUGGAAACGACUGCUAAUACCGCAUACGAUCUAAUCUCGGCAUCGAGGAUAGAUGAAAGGUGGCCUCUACAUGUAAGCUAUCACUGAAGGAGGGGAUUGCGUCUGAUUAGCUAGUUGGAGGGGUAACGGCCCACCAAGGCGAUGAUCAGUAGCCGGUCUGAGAGGAUGAACGGCCACAUUGGGACUGAGACACGGCCCAGACUCCUACGGGAGGCAGCAGUGGGGAAUCUUCCGCAAUGGACGAAAGUCUGACGGAGCAACGCCGCGUGAGCGAUGACGGCCUUCGGGUUGUAAAGCUCUGUUAAUCGGGACGAAAGGCCUUCUUGCGAAUAGUGAGAAGGAUUGACGGUACCGGAAUAGAAAGCCACGGCUAACUACGU